rnacentral:rRNA from 1 species
UACGUAGGCAGCGAGCGUUGUUCGGAGUUACUGGGCGUAAAGGGUGCGUAGGCGGGCUAUUAAGUCAGUGGUGAAAGCCCCAGCUUAACUUGGGAACUGCCAUUGAUACUGAUGGUCUUGAGUACAUUUGAGGUGGGCGGAAUGUGUCAUGUAGCGGUGAAAUGCUUAGAUAUGACACAGAACACCGAUUGCGAAGGCAGCUCACUAAACUGUAACUGACGCUGAGGCACGAAAGCGUGGGGAG